rnacentral:rRNA from 1 species
UACGAAGGGGGCUAGCGUUGCUCGGAAUCACUGGGCGUAAAGCGCACGUAGGCGGCUUUCUAAGUCAGGGGUGAAAUCCCGGAGCUCAACUCCGGAACUGCCUUUGAUACUGGAAAGCUUGAGUCCGGGAGAGGUGAGUGGAACUGCGAGUGUAGAGGUGAAAUUCGUAGAUAUUCGCAAGAACACCAGUGGCGAAGGCGGCUCACUGGCCCGGUACUGACGCUGAGGUGCGAAAGCGUGGGGAGCAAACAGG